rnacentral:rRNA from 1 species
UACGUAGGUGGCAAGCGUUGUCCGGAUUUAUUGGGUUUAAAGGGUACGUAGGCGGCCUAAUAAGUCAGUGCUGAAAUAUCUCGGCUUAACCGAGAGGGUGGCAUUGAUACUGUUGGGCUUGAGUACAGAUGAGGUAGGCGGAAUUGACGGUGUAGCGGUGAAAUGCAUAGAUAUCGUCAAGAACACCGAUAGCGAAGGCAGCUUACUAAGCUGUAACUGACGCUGAGGCACGAAAGUGUGGGGAUCAAACAGG